AUCCAGCUAACAAGUCUCAAAUAGGACGAAACGCGCAUCCGGGAU
rnacentral:hammerhead_ribozyme from 1 species